rnacentral:rRNA from 1 species
UACAGAGGUCUCGAGCGUUGUUCGGAUUCAUUGGGCGUAAAGGGUGCGUAGGUGGCGUGGUAAGUCUGGUGUGAAAUCCCGGGGCUCAACCCCGGAACUGCACUGGAUACUGCCAUGCUUGAGUACUGGAGAGGAGAUUGGAAUUUACGGUGUAGCAGUGAAAUGCGUAGAUAUCAGGAGGAACACCGAUGGCGAAGGCAGGUCUCUGGGCAUUAACUGACGCUGAGGAGCGAAAGCAUGGGGAGCGAACAGG